UUGUUAUCACGAAAGGCAGAGGGAUUAGACCCAUUGAAGCCUUAGCAACCCUUUACUUUAAAGAAGGUGCUAAAUUCUACUUUAUACUGAAUUUAUUCAGGAUUUAGACAGAUAACCA
rnacentral:ncRNA from 1 species